rnacentral:lncRNA from 1 species
UGGUGUAGAGAUACUAAGUGAUAAAUACAGAUAAUUAUUAGAGAAUAACUAGUACUGAGCAUGACCAUAUGAGAGAUCACAUGGAUUUCUAUCCAAUCAUCAGUGAUCAUCUCGAUGCUGUAUUGUGUGACAAAUUUUUUGAUUUGCGGUGUUAUAGUUGCUCACAGUAAGACUGCUGUAGUUUGACUACACAUAAGUAUUAACUCAAUUA